rnacentral:rRNA from 1 species
CUAAGGUUUUUGGAGGAAGGUUCGUCCGCUCCAAGUAAGUCGGGAGCUAAGGUCAGGCCGAAAGGCGUAGCCGAUGCACAUACGGUUGAUAUUCCGUAACCAUCUGUAAUUUAAGCAAAGGGACACUUCAAAAGGGUGUGACCCGGGCGUUGGUUGACCCGGGCGUAAGGGACCGAAAUUAGAGUAGGGAAGCACACUUAGCUGAAGGCGAGAAAAGCUUUGCGUAUAGAAGCAGAUGCCCGUACCGCAAACCGACACAGGUGGACAGGAAGAGAAUUCUAAGGCCAGCGGGAGAAGGGUAGUUAAGGAACUCGGCAAAUUGACUCCGUAACUUCGGAAUAAGGAGUGCUCGAAAGAGCCGCAGAGAAUAGGCCCAGGCGACUGUUUAGCAAAAACACAGGUCUCUGCCAAAUCGAAAGAUGAAGUAUAGGGGCUGACACCUGCCCGGUGCCGGAAGGUUAAGAGGAGGAGUGAGAGCUCCGAAUUGAAGCCCCGGUAAACGGCGGCCGUAACUAUAACGGUCCUAAGGUAGCGAAAUUCCUUGUCGGGUAAGUUCCGACCCGCACGAAUGGUGUAACGAUCUGGGCACUGUCUCAACUACCCACCCGGCGAAAUUGUAGUACCGGUGAAGAUGCCGGUUACCUGCGGCAAGACGGAAAGACCCCAUGGAGCUUUACUGUAGCCUGAUAUUGGGUUUCGGAAAUCUAUGUACAGGAUAGGCGGGAGACUUGGAAACAUGAGCGUCAGCUUGUGUGGAGUCGAUGUUGGGAUACCGCCCUUAGGUUUCUGGAAUUCUAACCUGCGGCCGUGAAUCCGGUCGGGGGACAUUGUCAGGUGGGCAGUUUGACUGGGGCGGUCGCCUCCGAAAAGGUAACGGAGGCGCUCAAAGGUUAGCUCAGCACGGACGGAAACCGUGCCUCUGAGUGUAAACGCAAAAGCUAGCCUAACUGCGAGGGUGACGGCCCGAGCAGUAACGAAAGUUGGAGUUAGUGAUCCGGCGGUAUGUGAAUGGAAAUGCCGUCGCUCAACGGAUAAAAGCUACCCUGGGGAUAACAGGCUGAUCU